rnacentral:lncRNA from 1 species
UUGGUCAUCUAUCUUUUGUGAUUUCCUCUUUCUUGCUGUGCUUCACAGGAAUAUUCACAUAACAGCACUUCAUCUUUGACCUGAACACUUCUUACUCCUUCCUAAUUUGCCAGAUUAUGCAUGUUUUGAAAUGGGAUUUGCUAGAAUUUUUAUUCCAUCUUAAGUGAAAUAUCUUUAGCUGCUGAGGAAAGUAGGAUUUUUACUUUCAGCAGAGUUCUCCAGGGUCUGAUAAUCACUCUGAGCUGCCUGUGUGCUGGCACUGCUGUGUUUUCAGCAAAAGCAGGGUAAGGCCAUUACUGAGUAUGUCACACAUCAGCAGUGAUUCCUGUCCCUGGGAGCCAGCCCUGUUACCUGUCACUGGUGUAGUUAUUGCAAACUGCUGUUGCUAACUUUUAGAAGAUCAGGGGCCUUUCUUAAAUCCCUGAGCCAUUACGUAAGAAUGAUAACUUGGCAUAUUUAGAUUUCUUGGUUCUAAUGGCUGCAGAGAAAAGCUAACAAUAGAAACAUUUAAAGAUGCUGGACCAUGAGUCAAAUGCAAAAAGGAACCCAAAAUGUGUUACUCAGGUUUGGGUUUUCUCUUACAGGAGCGGGUGAAGAAAGUGGUUCUGCCUUGCUGGCAGGGUCUGAGCCUGGUCAUACCAACUGCCUUCAUCAUUUGUCCUUCACACCACUGUCAGCCAAACACUCCUGAUAGAAAGUCUCAACUUCAGUUCACCUGGAAAAAAUGUACCCAGUAGGAAGCCCUGUCCUAACAACCUAGGAUUUCAAGGGUAUCUCUUAUAAAGGUCUUGUAAAUCCCAUCUUCAAAUUUCUUGAAAUAUUAAUUUUCCUUUACCUACAUAGACCCUUUAUAACUGUGCUGUAAUAUUAUUAUUUAAUACCUAGCUUUUGUUUUUCUUCCUUUGAGAACCAGCAGGGACAAGUCUGUGUGUCGGUCUGAUAAAGAACCUUAGCUGUGCUACAAUGCAGGCACUGGGAAUUUCAUGUUCCAGAAUAGAGGUCUUUCCAGAGAAAUCUGUUUCAGAUGUGUCUGUGCACUCUUCAGCUGUGGUGGCCACUUAAUGAGUGAGGGUCUGAACUGUGGUGUCCUGAUAGUGGCUUUUCUGUCAUUGGAGCAGCUGUGAAUUGGAGCAGAAAUUGUUUCUUGUACCAUCGUUCCCAAGGCAGGCAGGCAAGUACUUGCUUGUCUUGAUGAGGCUGUGCCACAUGCGUUGUAUUAGCAUGCCAGAAUAAAUACACUUCAGGUACAGACA